rnacentral:rRNA from 1 species
CCUACGGGAGGCAGCAGUAGGGAAUAUUGCUUAAUGGGCGCAAGCCUGAAGCAGCAACGCCGCGUGUGCGAUGAAGGCCUUCGGGUUGUAAAGCACUUUUUGCUGGGAAGAGGAAGGACGGUACCAGCAGAAUCAGCCUCGGCUAACUACGUGCCAGCAGCCGCGGUAAAACGUAGGAGGCGAGCGUUAUCCGGAUUUACUGGGUGUAAAGCGCGUGCAGGCGGUCGGUUAAGUUGGAUGUGAAAGCUCCUGGCUCAACUGGGAGAGGUCGUUCAAGACUGGCAGACUGGAGAGCAGUAGGGGAAGGUGGAAUUCCGGGUGUAGUGGUGAAAUGCGUAGAUAUCCGGAGGAACACCAGUGGCGAAAGCGGCCUUCUGGACUGCAUCUGACGCUCAGACGCGAAAGCUAGGGGAGCAAACGGGAUUAGAGACCCCGGUAGUCCUAGCCGUAAACGAUGUGAACUUGGCGCUGGGCGGGUAAAACCGCUCAGUGCCGGAGCAAACGCGAUAAGUUCACCACCUGGGGACUACGGCCGC